rnacentral:rRNA from 1 species
GUCGAACGCUGAAGCCGCUUUCGGGUGGUGGAUGAGUGGCGAACGGGUGAGUAACACGUGGGCAAUCUGCCCUGUACUUCGGGAUAAGCCUUGGAAACGGGGUCUAAUACCGGAUAGGACACUGCUUCGCAUGGGGUGGUGUGGAAAGCUUCGGCGGUAUGGGAUGAGCCCGCGGCCUAUCAGCUUGUUGGUGGGGUGAUGGCCUACCAAGGCGACGACGGGUAGCCGGCCUGAGAGGGUGACCGGCCACACUGGGACUGAGACACGGCCCAGACUCCUACGGGAGGCAGCAGUGGGGAAUAUUGCACAAUGGGCGGAAGCCUGAUGCAGCGACGCCGCGUGAGGGAUGACGGCCUUCGGGUUGUAAACCUCUUUCGCCCGGGACGAAGCGUAACAGUGACGGUACCGGGAGAAGAAGCACCGGCUAACUACGUGCCAGCAGCCGCGGUAAUACGUAGGGUGCAAGCGUUGUCCGGAAUUAUUGGGCGUAAAGAGCUCGUAGGCGGUGUGUCACGUCUGCCGUGAAAACCUGCGGCUUAACCGUGGGCGUGCGGUGGAUACGGGCAUCACUUGAGUUCGGCAGGGGAGACUGGAAUUCCUGGUGUAGCGGUGGAAUGCGCAGAUAUCAGGAGGAACACCGGUGGCGAAGGCGGGUCUCUGGGCCGAUACUGACGCUGAGGAGCGAAAGCGUGGGGAGCGAACAGGAUUAGAUACCCUGGUAGUCCACGCCGUAAACGUUGGGCGCUAGGUGUGGGACGCUGUUCACGCGUUCCGUGCCGUAGCUAACGCAUUAAGCGCCCCGCCUGGGGGAGUACGGCCGCAAGGCUAAAACUCAAAGGAA